UUCUGGCUCAGGACGAACGCUGGCGGCGUGCCUAAUACAUGCAAGUCGAACGGCUUUUCUAUGGAAGCUUGCUUCCACUGAGAAGAUAGUGGCGAACGGGUGAGUAACACGUGGGUAACCUGCCCAUAAGAGGGGGAUAACAUCCGGAAACGGGUGCUAAUACCGCAUAGUUUUCUUGAUCGCAUGAUCGGGAAAGGAAAGACGGCCUUUGUGCUGUCGCUUAUGGAUGGACCCGCGGCGUAUUAGUUAGUUGGUGAGGUAACGGCUCACCAAGACGAUGAUACGUAGCCGACCUGAGAGGGUGAUCGGCCACAUUGGGACUGAGACACGGCCCAAACUCCUACGGGAGGCAGCAGUAGGGAAUCUUCCGCAAUGGACGAAAGUCUGACGGAGCAACGCCGCGUGAGUGAAAGAAGGUUUUCGGAUCGUAAAACUCUGUUGUCAGAGAAGAACAAGUUGGAGAGUAACUGCUCCAGCCUUGACGGUAUCUGACCAGAAAGCCACGGCUAACUACGUGCCAGCCGCCGC
rnacentral:rRNA from 1 species